rnacentral:rRNA from 1 species
UACGUAGGGUGCAAGCGUUAAUCGGAAUUACUGGGCGUAAAGCGUGCGCAGGCGGUUUUGUAAGUCUGUCGUGAAAUCCCCGGGCUCAACCUGGGAAUUGCGAUGGAGACUGCAAGGCUAGAAUCUGGCAGAGGGGAGUAGAAUUCCACGUGUAGCAGUGAAAUGCGUAGAGAUGUGGAGGAACACCGAUGGCGAAGGCAGCCCCCUGGGCUAACACUGACGCUCAGGCACGAAAGCGUGGGGAGCAAACAGG